rnacentral:rRNA from 1 species
AGAGUUUGAUCCUGGCUCAGGACGAACGCUGGCGGCGUGCUUAACACAUGCAAGUCGAACGAUGAAGCCCAGCUUGCUGGGUGGAUUAGUGGCGAACGGGUGAGUAACACGUGAGUAACCUGCCCUCCACUCUGGGAUAACUCCGGGAAACCGGUGCUAAUACUGGAUAUGACCUUGGCCCGCAUGGGUUGGGGUGGAAAGAUUUAUCGGUGGUGGAUGGACUCGCGGCCUAUCAGCUUGUUGGUGGGGUAAUGGCCUACCAAGGCGACGACGGGUAGCCGGCCUGAGAGGGUGACCGGCCACACUGGGACUGAGACACGGCCCAGACUCCUACGGGAGGCAGCAGUGGGGAAUAUUGCACAAUGGGCGAAAGCCUGAUGCAGCGACGCCGCGUGCGGGAUGACGGCCUUCGGGUUGUAAACCGCUUUCAGCUCUGACGAAGCUUUUGUGACGGUAGGAGCAGAAGAAGCACCGGCUAACUACGUG